GCGACCUGUAUGCAUUUGAUGCAGGUUCGUGAUAGUUACUCAAAAGACCAAUCCACGUUCUGCCAUAUUGCCUUCCACCCGUUCGACGAAAUACCGCCAUCUCCGAGGGCGUCGCCACCGGCCUGCCCGACCAACUCACCGUCGCCAUGACCGCCAGUUGAGCCGACUACGCCUAGGAGAAGCCAUGAAUUGGAUCUUGGUUGGCCGCAUUUUCUAGAUGAAGUUACUGGUCAUAGCCAAAUACUUAUCACUAUAUGUACGAUGAACUUCGUUACACAGUUUCUAGCUACAGAGAAAACGGCGCAUUUGGGGCUGAUGGCAAAUUGAAGCAAACUGUUUGUCUUAAACCAGAAUUGGAUACUUCUAUUUUUGCAUCGGCAUAUAUUACUUAAGUGAUUCUGCAAGAUGCUCAUUAUACUCUUGGUUGUUCCGCCUCAAUGAGGCUCCUAGGUUAGCCGAUUGUGAGCCUGAUGAGUUCGAGAAGCUCUGCACAAAGUGUGAGGGAGAGGUGGAGGACUCGUUGUGAACAAAAUUCUCUUGCAUGGCUUGACUGAGAUGGGUCUUCGAUCGUCUGCCCAGAAUAAUGUGAUACGUUAUGAAGAUGGUUCUCCAUAUCAAUGAAAAGCAAUUUACAAUUUAGGUUCCAGAAAGAAACUUGCAUUCUUAAUAUGUAGGAUCUUUUUCUUGGAUUCAUAUAUUACAUUUCAAAAUUCUAAUGUUAGAACCAUCAGAAGAUUCAAAGGACCCUCGUUGACAUGGCAGUUGCAGAUGCUAUAUGGAUAUUAGAGACGGUCUUAAUAUUCAUGUGGACCAAUCCAAUUCUGGGAAACUGAUAUCAUUACAUUUAUAUUUUCGGUCUCAGGUGUAUCAGCUUUAUGCUUCAUCUUAUUAGCAUUAGCUUGUCUCUGACUGAAGUUUACAGUUUUUCCUGCUCUAACUAUUAGAACAUUUGGUGCAUAAUAUUUCAACUUUUGGU